CCUACGGGGGGCUGCAGUGGGGAAUAUUGCACAAUGGGGGAAACCCUGAUGCAGCGACGCCGCGUGAGUGAAGAAGUAAUUCGUUAUGUAAAGCUCUAUCAGCAGGGAAGAAAAUGACGGUACCUGAGUAAGAAGCCCCGGCUAACUACGUGCCAGCAGCCGCGGUAAUACGUAGGGGGCAAGCGUUAUCCGGAUUUACUGGGUGUAAAGGGAGCGUAGACGGCAGUGCAAGUCUGGAGGGAAAGGCGGGGGCGCAACCCCCGGACUGCUCUGGAAACUGUACGGCUGGAGUGCAGGAGAGGUAAGUGGAAUUCCUAUGGUAGCGGGUAAAUGCGUAGAUAUUAGGAGGAACACCAGUGGCGAAGGCGGCUUACUGGACUGUAACUGACGUUGAGGCUCGAAAGCGUGGGGAGCAAACAGGAUUAGAUACCCUUGUAGUC
rnacentral:rRNA from 1 species